rnacentral:lncRNA from 1 species
UGACCUAUUGUAGGUCAGUGUUUAUAAAUUAAAGCUGUGUGACCCUAGAUUUAUUUUUUAAAGACUUGGUGGCUUUUCGAAUAUGUUGAGGAAUGUCCGUUUGGAUGUGAGACUUCUUUGCACUUUGCUCCAAAAGUAUGUUAAUUAAAAUGAAAUAAGGAGAAUUGGUAGAAACGUUUGAAUAGCUUUUGUUUUAAAAGUUGUACUGAAUUUUUAUUAAAGAUCUGUCCUCACUAUAGAACCCUUGGUUUAUCUCUAAAAUGUGACCAUUAAGGAACUAUUGAAGUAAAAGUGAUUUUAAAAUUACCAUUUCUUACUAUAUUUUUUUAAAGUUUUUUUUUCUCCCAGUUAGAAUUGAAGAUGUAUUGACUGUCAAUGGCAUAUUAGAACCUUUAACAGCACUUUCCAUCAUGCACAGACACCUUGGGUAAUGGUGACUUUAGCAUCUUGGCCACAGUUUUGGCUCUGAUAUGCCUAUUGGCUGUCAGUUUAAAGGGUAUCUCGUUUAUAUUGAGUCCCAAGCAUGGCUUAUACUUCACUGUCUCUAAUUGAAAUAUAUAUUGAGUCAGUUGUUUUUUAGUUCUAGGUAGACAAAGUAAGUGUAUUAAAUUUGAUAGCAUAUUAGACUUAAUGAAGUUUGUGUGUCAGGUGGGGUAGGUGUUUGCACUUAGGAUUGGUGCAUGUAUAUGCAAAGUAAUGAUGGAUUCCCUCGACCACUCUGUGCAUUAUUCCUUUGAGACAGUCUUUAGCAGUACCUGGUAUUACUCUAACACGUAAUCCCCACUCCCAGCACUGUGGAUGUAGGUAGUUGUGCAUAUUUAAGUGUGGAUCAUAUUGUAGGUAUACUUCAUGAUAAAAAUUGGAACAAGUAGCUUCUUGCUCAUUUUUCAAAAUUUAAUUUAUAGAUAUUAUUUCUAUUAUUUGACUGCUCUGAGAGCUUGCUAAAUGCUUUCCAAAACAUUUGUGAAAAUUACUGCAAAUGAUAAUAAUAAUUAUGUCAAAGUGCUGUAUCACUUCAGUAACCUCACAUUUACUGAGAUCUUAGCACGUGUUGGGUAAUAUACUUUUUGUCAUGUUGAAGCCAUGCGGAGGCAAACACAGGUGGCUUUGCCGCCUGUGGUAGCAGUGGCAGAGGCGAACACUUGGCUGGCUUUCUAAUCAUACUGUACAGUUAGAUUUUAAUAUAUAAUACACAUUACAGAUACAUUCUGUUGUAUAAAUGCUUUGGUGAAAGUGAAUUCAGAAUUUCAUUUUGGAGUCAGGAAUAUUUUCUUCUCAGAUACCCUCCCUUGCUUUUGCUGCUUUGACACAUGGUUUUUUUCAGAUUCAUUUUAUGUGUUCCCAUUGGUGUGCUGUAAGGGAAUGUUCUUUAGCAGUUUUUGUCAUUAGUUUGGUAGUUACUUACAACUUUGAAUGGAAUUUGUCAGUAACUUCUUUUAUAAACCAGUAGGCCUGUAUUAUACAUUUUCUUUCCUGUCAUAUUUUUGUAUUAUUUCUUUUCUUGAGUCAGGUCUGUUAAGUGGUCCAGGCUGUCCUCAAGCUUGUGAUCUCAUCUCAGCUUUCCUAGUGCUGAGAUAGCAAUGUGCUCCUGGGCCCUCUUUGAAGUACUUUUUUUUUUUUUUAGGUAUUUUCCUCAUUUACAUUUCCAAUGCUAUCCCAAAAGUCCCCCAUACCCUCUGUAACUCCUUCCAUGGGUGUUUUGUUCCCAAUUCUAAGAAGGGGCAAAGUGUCCACACUUUGGUCUUCGUUCUUCUUGAGUUUCAUGCGUUUAGCAAAUUGUACCUAAUAUCUUGGGUAUCCUAAGUACUUUUAGUGUCUGUUUUAUCUCAUUUUGUUGCGAAUGAGAUUUAGGAGCUUUGGUUUCUUACUCCUUCAGUUCAUUAACAUUAGCUUCCUUUGACUCUAAAGUGAUGCGUAAAGUAGUCACGGGUAUACGGAAUUUGAUUGCAUAUGUAUUAUCUGAAAUAGAUUAUGCUAAAGUGAUGCUGCUGUUUGCUAGCUUUAAAAUCGCCUUUACUUUAUAGUAAAGACCUGAUAUUAAAAGCCUAAGUAUUUUUAAAUACGUUAUUUUGAGUAAUUUACUAUUGUGUUUCAAUAAGGCCUGAAAAUAAUGAGUUUGUAGUAGAGAUAUAACUUGGAUAUGUCUUUAGGUAGGCUAGAUGGAUGGCAUAAAAUGUACCUUUGUUCUUAUUGUAUAAUAUUGAGGCUAUUACUAAUUAUUCAUAUAGGUCCCAGCAACAGAUAGAAAUGCUUUAAGUUCGCUCUGGGGAAAACUGGCCUCUGAAAUCUUAAUGCAGAAUUGGGAUGCAGCCAUGGAAGACCUUACUCGAUUAAAAGAAACCAUAGACAAUAAUUCUGUGAGUUCUCCACUCCAGUCUCUUCAGCAGCGAACAUGGCUCAUUCAUUGGUCUCUAUUUGUUUUUUUCAACCAUCCAAAGGGCCGUGAUAACAUUAUUGAUCUCUUCCUUUACCAACCACAGUAUCUUAAUGCAAUUCAGACAAUGUGUCCACAUAUUCUACGCUAUUUGACUACUGCCGUCAUAACCAACAAAGAUGUGCGGAAACGCCGGCAGGUGCUGAAAGAUCUGGUGAAAGUGAUUCAACAGGUAAAAAUAAACUUAAAGCAGUCAGACAGUAGGUGUGAUCUCUAAAUGCUGGGGUAGGUCUUAGGGGAAAAUAAGUAAGGUGAGAGGGAAGUCUACAUGAAACUAGAGAGAAAUUAGCAAGCCCUGAGCUUACUUUUGCAAAAUCAUAGGUGUCCUUAUGACCAAUAUGGUAUGAGUGAUUAGUGCUUGGUGGAGCUGCUUGUUGAUGGGUUGUGGAGUUGCUGCCUGUUCCAGAUGGUGACCAUUAUCUUAAUGUGGCAAAAGCCCCUGAAGUUUGGCUUAUGGAGCUUCUCACUUGUAAAUAAAACAAAACACCGAAAAAGCCCAAGAAAUCAGAUGUAAUCUAAGAAUGCAUUUAUAAUUUGGACAUGUGACAAACUUAAUGUGUUAUCUGAGGUAAGGGUUCGAUUGGGUGCUUUGAGAAGAUGAUAUUGGAUUAGCUGUGAGUUGGCAUUAUGUUAAACAGUGCUUAACAAGAUCUAACUGGACAUUUGGAUUACUUUUUUAGGAGUCUUACACAUAUAAAGACCCAAUUACAGAAUUUGUUGAAUGCCUAUAUGUUAACUUUGAUUUUGACGGGGCUCAGAAAAAGCUGAGAGAAUGUGAAUCAGUAAGUAUGAAUUUUUACUAAGCAAUUUAUAUUCUUAAAUUUCAAGAUGUAGUAAAGUAUUGAAGUAAUUGAAUAAGAAAAAAUAAACUAAAUGGUAUAUUAUUGACAGAAUGAAGACACCUAGUUGGUAUUGUCUCCUUUAGGUUACAGAAAUUAAAACAUCAGCUAUCUGAAUUCAUCUGAUUCUCCUUAAUUCUGUUUCUCUAAUCUGGUUCAUAUGUACAUGCAUACCACAAAUGUGGUCCCCUUAUUUAUAGAUGGAAUUACUUGUAGAAAAGAUUAAAUUUAACAUUUCAUAUAAACUAAGCAAUUUAUUACAGUUAUGUUUUUAUACCUAAAUUUUCCUAUUUAGUUAAAAAUAAAGUUCUUUCAGAGCAAGUCUGGAAUUCGAUAUGUAAACCAAGCAGUCAGUGGAUUUAUGGAGAUACAUGCGCCUGCUCUGUCUCCCAAGGGCUGGUGUGAGAGGCCUGUACCAUCACGCUCUGAUGCUGGUUUUUGGUUUUGUUUAAUUUUUAAAGAAGUUUCCUGUUUUUUAGUGGAUGUAGGCACACAUGUGGAAGUCAGGACAACUGUGCGGAAUCUUUGUUGUUGUUUUCCUGUUACAUGGCUUCCAGAGGUUUAAUUCUGUGUUAGGCUUGCAUGCUGUGUGCUUUAUCCACUGAGCCAUCUCCAGCCAUGCCACAACUAUUUGUUUAUUUAUUUGCUCAUAUUCCCAACAUAUUAGGGGUUAGGCGAGGGUGUGUACACAGUUUGCUGUUUAUCUUAAGGUGAUCCUAGGCUCACGAUCACUAUACCUUAGGUUUCUGAGUGGAGAGACUGAAAGUGCAAUCCCAUCCUCAGAUAGUUUUGUCUUUUAAAAUCAAGUUACAGGAACAGAAUUCCCAGUUUAGCUAAGAGCUUGUUUCUC